AUUGAACGCUGGCGGCAGGUCUAACACAUGCAAGUCGAGCGGAUGAAGGGAGCUUGCUCCUGGAUUCAGCGGCGGACGGGUGAGUAAUGCCUAGGAAUCUGCCUGGUAGUGGGGGAUAACGUCCGGAAACGGGCGCUAAUACCGCAUACGUCCUGAGGGAGAAAGUGGGGGAUCUUCGGACCUCACGCUAUCAGAUGAGCCUAGGUCGGAUUAGCUAGUUGGUGGGGUAAAGGCCUACCAAGGCGACGAUCCGUAACUGGUCUGAGAGGAUGAUCAGUCACACUGGAACUGAGACAUGGUCCAGACUCCUACGGGAGGCAGCAGUGGGGAAUAUUGGACAAUGGGCGAAAGCCUGAUCCAGCCAUGCCGCGUGUGUGAAGAAGGUCUUCGGAUUGUAAAGCACUUUAAGUUGGGAGGAAGGGCAGUAAGUUAAUACCUUGCUGUUUUGACGUUACCAACAGAAUAAGCACCGGCUAACUUCGUG
rnacentral:rRNA from 1 species